rnacentral:pre_miRNA from 1 species
GGAAUAUAAAAAUCUGACUCUUAAUUUUUAACUGAAAAUGCUAAGAGUCGGCUCUUAAAUAAAAGAUUUAAGAGCCGACUCUUAACUUUUUCAGUUAAAAGUUAAGAAUCGGGUUUUUAUAUUCU